rnacentral:snRNA from 1 species
ACUCAUUCUCACAUGAUG